GGGUGGAGGGCACAAUGAUGGCAACAGAUUCUCCAAAACUUUCCCUUUUCGGGAUUUGGUAUAACGGAGGGAAAACUGUGACACUGGAGCAGGACACUCUCAAGAUUUUUUGGGUGACAGAUGGAAGACUUGUGAGGAUCCUGAAGGGCAGGAUGGGGAGUUUGUUUCUAUCUUUGGUUAUCUAGCUGUAUGAGUGUAAAUAAGCCGUCAUAAAGCUAGAUAACCGAAAGUAGGAAUCACUUCCAAGGCUUCACCUUUGCCACAUGAUCCAUGGAGGGAGAAUGGCAGCCCGACACCCCCACAGCUCCACUCCUGGCUUUUAUUCCAGGAAACAUGCGAUAAUGUGAUAGAAACCCUGAAAACCGUGAGUAGAGACAGCAGACUGAAUCUCUGCAAAUAAGACGCAGGAGAAGCAUCAGUAUCAACAGCUUGUUAAUUUGAAUGUGCGUUUGAGAAGCUCGUCACCAUGUGGUACUCUCGCUAAUCAAGAGAAUAUACGAAUAUGACAAGGCCUAAUUGAGAUGAAAAUUUUGGCCCAAACGACAUCAGUUUCUUCAUUCACCACAAGCAAGAUACUGCUUUGUACUUGGAAGCCAUUUUGAUAGAAUGAAAAGAACAUUUUAAGAUGGCCGCUUGGGCAUGAGGUUAAAAGAAGAUCAAGGGAUCACGAGACAUCAUCACAAUCUCCUCUGACUGCUGGGAGACUUUCAGUCGUUGGGCAGCCUUUAUUUAUGCAAUUCAAGCAUGAAAAAUACAUCUUUCAGCUAUAAUGGACUAGAUAUCACAAAAGCAUGGGCUAUUUACAUUUACACAAUGAUGGACUGUUUCUAAUAUCAGAUAUCUACAAUGAGGUCCCCACGAUGACAAGCUGAAAUUACAGCUUCACUACAACAGACAAGCAAAUCUGUGGGACUGUUUCAGCAGAGAGUACUGCGCUGGCCAUGCAUUAUAAAUGACAAUAUUUCAGCAUAUCCACUUCAUCCUCUCCACCUAAGAAGAUCUAACAAAAAGUGGAUUCACAAAGAAGUUUAUCUGCCAGGCACCUCUUUCCGUUGCACAUCUUUAAAGUAGCUUCAAAACCAGUUAAUCACAAAAGACAUGACCAACCAUGUUUUAGAAGGGUGAACAAUUCAUUUGUCAAAAAAACAAAACAAAACAAAAAUAAAAGGUUCCAUGAUAUUCUACUUCACUGGCUGUUCAUAUUAAUACAAUGAAGUAUAGUGUGUUUUUUAUUGCCAUAGUUCCUGUGGUAAAAAUCCUCUUCAGACACCAGCAUAAGAAAUAUGCUAAUUGCUAAGGUUGUAUCGUUGCAGUAUUCUGUAGGAAAUAUUCCAUUAUUUUUAAACAGGAUUUACAGAGAUAUCUCCUUUGAAAUACAGUCUAAGUUUGUGUGUCACAAACAUAAAGGCUGACAAGCAAUUCUGAAUUUACCUGAAAAUCACUACAAGAGGUCACAUGCCGCAUACACCAUCCACAGGUUGAAGCAGCAAGUCAACAAGCAAUUCUUGACUGGAGGAUUCUCCCUGUGAGGCAACUCCUGAGGACAUGUGCUCCAAAUACCUCAUACAGAUCUAAAGUAGAAAUAACAUUUUUGAGAGAAAACUUAAUCAAAAGAUUAUAUAUCCUUAUUAGUGGCCAUUAAAAAAGAAACUAAUAAAAUUGUAUUAUACAUAUUAGUAAAUAAUACCCUUUUAAUUUUCUUUACCUUUGGCCACCAUUUUGUGGUGUUCCUUCGCUGAUCACCUGACAGGAAAUAAAUGCAGGUUUACCUGUAACAGGAAGACUGUAUUAAAAGAUGUAACCUAGCAAGUAUACGUGUCCCUGGUUUGUGUGUGAGCUCAGUGCCUAAUACAACCCAGAGCGACACACACAAGAACUUCAACUGGCAGUGUUUCAAUAUGGGAUUAUCCCUGACGUUUAAUGAGAAUACAAGAAGUUACUCAAAAUAAUUUGUCAUUUUGUGAACAUGAAAUGUUUUCAAUGUUCUAAACAGCAAAGAGUGGGUUCAACAUUAGUAUCAUGUGACAUAGCACCUCCAUCUUAUGAAAUAAUUUGUUUUAGACAUGAUACAUAAGUCUAGUAAGCCAAAUUUCAUCCAUGUUGAAUUACUGAAAUGUACCAGAUUUUAAAAUAUUCACUCAUAUCAUACUUCUCCAAAACGUAUGUCCCAAAUGGGUUCAUUCAUGUGUUCUUGAAAGCUUCUGUAUAUAUUUUUAUGGGAGAAUGUAGGAACACACAAGUAGUACAGUUAUUAUGCCUUUCCAUUUCCCAUGUAUUCUCUUCUUAUCUCUGUUACAAUACUGAAUUCUGAAUAUUGAAUUCAGAUUCUUUGGAAAAGAGGUUAUGUAUCAUCAAUUGGUUUGUGAAUUGCCCAUUAUCAAAUGUAUAUAUGUCCUUCAAUUUUUCAGAAAUAAACUGUGCUAUUAUAUCAUCAAAA